rnacentral:lncRNA from 1 species
AAACUAAUAGAACAACAAGCAAAGCUAAAAUCCGAGACCAUUAAAUCUCAGAAUCACAUCAACAAAGAGAGUGGAUGGCUGCUCUCUGGCUUUCAGAAUCUAAACUAAUCUGAUCUAAUCUUCAUCAGCUCCGGAAGCCUUGGAGGAGGUUCCGGUUUUCUUGGGGAGGAGGAGGUUGUGGAUGUUAGGCAUCACACCACCAUUGGCAAUUGUUACGUCUCCGAGUAGCUUGCUCAGCUCCUCAUCGUUUCUUACGGCGAGCUGGAUGUGACGUGGCACAAUUCUGGUUUUCUUGUUGUCUCUGGCUGCAUUACCGGC